rnacentral:misc_RNA from 1 species
CAAGGACCGGAGAGCUUGGAGAUGGCAAGAUUUUCUUGGUGCCUGUUUCAGAUGUAAUAAGAGUUCGCACCGGUGAGCGUGGAGACCAAGCUGAGAGGAUGACAGGAGGACGAUCUGAUAUGACUUCUGCUUGACUGGUUUGAAUUGCAAUAAGCAAGCAAGAUUAGCAUGCCUUACGAGAAAGCUUCUCUACUCAAGAACAACCUGUCUCCAGUUCAACUUAGAAGAUUUGAUAUUCUUGUUACUCUUGUUUUUUGUAGUUUUUAUAUACAUUAC